UGCCCCAGCGGCACGUGGGGCAGGGGCCUCGCGAAAACACUGGCUGCCGGGCCUCAACGGCCAGGGUUCCUGAGGCCGUGGGUCUGGGGACGUUUUCAGCCCCGGCUCAGUUAGCAUCACCUGGGGAGUGUUUUGGAAACCCAAACCAAUCAAAGAGAGAGUGUUUGUUUGCCUACCGUGGGCCUCUACAGGCCAGGGUUGUAUUUUGUAUCUAGUCUUAUCUCACCGGCCCUUACCCUGCGCCCGGGUCGGAGCACCUGACUCAGAGGACCGGCCAGUUCACAUUGGCUUCCUGCUGGUGUGGAUGUUCACCGAGAGGUGCGACCGGACCUCGGAGAAGGGCAUGGGGGAUUAUCGCUUUAAUCCCGAGGAGGCUUCUCCUGUCACUCAGCAGAGUUCACUCCGUGUCCCCCUACCAUGCAGCUGGCUGUGGGCUGGGAGAAUGUAUUUGUUAUCCUGAUCCGGGAGAAAUAAAA